rnacentral:rRNA from 1 species
AACGAACGCUGGCGGCAUGCCUAACACAUGCAAGUCGAACGAGACCUUCGGGUCUAGUGGCGCACGGGUGCGUAACGCGUGGGAACCUGCCCUUAGGUUCGGAAUAACUCCCCGAAAGGGGUGCUAAUACCGGAUAAUGUCUUCGGACCAAAGAUUUAUCGCCUUUGGAUGGGCACGCGUUGGAUUAGCUAGUUGGUAGGGUAAAAGCCUACCAAGGCGACGAUCCAUAGCUGGUCUGAGAGGAUGAUCAGCCACACUGGGACUGAGACACGGCCCAGACUCCUGCGGGAGGCAGCAGUGGGGAAUCUUGGACAAUGGGCGAAAGCCUGAUCCAGCAAUGCCGCGUGAGUGAUGAAGGCCUUAGGGUUGUAAAGCUCUUUUACCCGGGAUGAUAAUGACGGUACCGGGAGAAUAAGCUCCGGCUACCUCCGUG